rnacentral:rRNA from 1 species
UAGGGAAUCUUCCGCAAUGGGCGAAAGCCUGACGGAGCAACGCCGCGUGAGUGAUGAAGGUCUUCGGAUCGUAAAACUCUGUUAUUAGGGAAGAACAAAUGUGUAAGGAACUAUGCACGGCUGGACGGUACCUAAUCAGAAAUCCACGGCUAACUACGUGCCAGCAGCCGCGGUAAUACGUAGGUGGCAAGCGUUAUCCGGAAUUAUUGGGCGUAAAGCGCGCGUAGGCGGUUUUUUAAGUCUGAUGUGAAAGCCCACGGCUCAACCGUGGAGGGUCAUUGGAAACUGGAAAACUUGAGUGCAGAAGAGGAAAGUGGAAUUCCAUGUGUAGCGGUGAAAUGCGCAGGGAUAUGGAGGAACACCAGUGGCGAAGGCGACUUUCUGGUCUGUAACUGACGCUGAUGUGCGAAAGCGUGGGGAUCAAACAGG